GAUCAUGGCUCAGAUUGAACGCUGGCGGCAUGCCUUACACAUGCAAGUCGAACGGCAGCACGGGAGCUUGCUCCUGGUGGCGAGUGGCGAACGGGUGAGUAAUGCAUCGGAACGUGCCCUGAAGUGGGGGAUAACGUAGCGAAAGUUACGCUAAUACCGCAUAUUCUGUGAGCAGGAAAGCAGGGGAUCUUCGGACCUUGCGCUUUUGGAGCGGCCGAUGUCGGAUUAGCUAGUUGGUGGGUAAAGGCCCACCAAGGCGACGAUCCGUAGCGGGUCUGAGAGGAUGAUCCGCCACACUGGAACUGAGACACGAUCCAGACUCCUACGGGAGGCAGCAGUGGGGAAUUUUUGGACAAUGGGCGCAAGCCUGAUCCAGCCAUGCCGCGUGAGUGAAGAAGGCCUUCGGGUUGUAAAGCUCUUUCGGUGGGGAAGAAAUUGCUUGGGUUAAUACCCUGAGUAGAUGACGGUACCCGCAUAAGAAGCACCGGCUAACUACGUG
rnacentral:rRNA from 1 species